GCGUGUUCUCCGCUCUCCGGUGACUCUGCCCGGGACUUCUGACGCCCCGGACGCGGGGGCGCCCGGGGGGCGAGAGCCCGGGCCACCCCCGCCCGGGACCCGCCGGCCCCGCCGCCAGCCUCUCCUCCCGGGAAAGGCGCUGCCACGGCAGCCCCGACUCCGGAAAGUCUUCUGACCGCAGCCAGACCCCCCUGCAAAGCAUGCACAUCUGCGAACCCCCCACCCGCACCCGCACGCGCGUCACGCCUCCUCCGGCCCUCCGCCUCCGGGACUCCGGGGCCCGGCCGCGGCCCGGGACUUCGGGGAACAGCGCUGCGGGGGCGAGGCGGAGGGGCCAGGUCUCCACGCUAGAGGGGUGAUGCCUCAGUCAGGAUGUGCCUGAAGAAUUGCUGGGGCGAUUGUGUCAACUGAGGGCAAAGGAGGGAAAACAGAAGCAAAGAAAACCACCUCGAAAGUCUCGUGUUUGCUGUUGUUAAAAGGCUGUUUCUUCAUUUCUGAUUUCCUUAUCUUUCACUACAAAGAAAAAACUCAAAAGAUGUGUCUGCAUUGGACGAGAAGAAAACACUCACAAUAACAGUGAAGGUGCAUUUGUUUUAUUCCCCUUUUCCCUGAAAAAAUUUUUUUUUUAAUAUCCACCAAUUUAGCAAAGUCGAAAGCUGUGAACAGGUAAAAGAGGCUCCCCUCGUCCGCGUCUAUUUGCUGACUUUCAUCACUUGCAUUUGGUAGGCUUUUGUGUCAGAUAGAAAUUAUGGGAAAAAGAAUUAGGUAUUUGCCAAGAAACGACAUUCCACUUUCAAGCAGACUCCACCUGAUUCUGCAUUCGAGUGCUGGGAAGCGCGCGCGCGUGCUAUUAUCCCCUCAUGAACCCCAAAGCCUUCAUUAGAUGUGGACAAAGAGGGGUGAGAACCCUAUUACUGGGCGUUCUGGCAAAAACAGAAGCGGCGCCCCUCUGCUCCUGGACCCCCAGAAAGGACACCCCGAAAAAGGGCACAGGUCGGUGUAUUUUCCUUAAGAGCCCUGAGCUGGGCAGACCUUACAGAGAAAUACACAGUAAUUAACAUGUGAAAAAGCAAAAUGCUGAAACGAAGGA